ensembl:lncRNA
UAGACAGUACAGAGACAGGUCAUUAAGGAGCAGGUAGGGGUUAGACAGUACAGAGACAGGUCAUUAAGGAGCAGGUAGGGGUUAGACAGUACAGAGACAGGUCAUUAAGGAGCAGGUAGGGGUUAGACAGUACAGAGACAGGUCAUUAAGGAGCAGGUAGGGGUUAGAGAGUACAGAGAGGUCAUUAAGGAGCAGGUAGGGGUUAGACAGUACAGAGACCGGUCAUUAAGGAGCAGGUAGGGGUUAGACAGUACAGAGACAGGUCAUUAAGGAGCAGGUAGGGGUUAGACAGUACAGAGACAGGUCAUUAAGGAGCAGGUAGGGGUUAGACAGUACAGAGACAGGUCAUUAAGGAGCAGGUAGG